UCCUUGGUGCUCCAGUGUUUAGGACUCCACGCUUCCAUCGCUGGGGGCCCAGGUUCAAUUCCUGGUUGGGGAA
rnacentral:tRNA from 1 species